AAUGGAGAAAAUAUGAGAAGUAUGCAAAAGUUUAUCUCAGACUAUUUCUAUGCUUCAAUAAGUGCUCAAAAAUGUGCUGCGUUAGACACCAAAGUCAAUACAGAUAUUCAGUGUUUUUGGCAUUUGAUUAGAUAUCCAUUUGCUCCCUAUUUUCCUUUUAAGAAGGAAUAGAAAUACCCACUGAAUAGCUAUUCAAAACUCCAAGUCCAUUAAAUAGGCUGAGUUGACAACCGAAGCGUAUAUCUGAAGACUUAAAUAAGACCACAGGUAGUGUUUUGUCCAGAAAUAAUCAAGCUAGCAAGUUUGAUGAUUCAGAAAAAAAGAAUGAAUAUUAAUCAUAAUUUUGAAUAUUUUGUAUUAUGUACUUGGAUCUUUUUGGUACGAUUUCAAUUUACACUUUACAUUUUGAGUGCUGAAAAAUGAUUAAGACAAACGAUAAAUGAUACACUGGAAAUUAAACAUACUAUUCCAAUGUCUUAGAAAGUGGGCAACACUUUCUAUGCUGUAGUUAUGUAAAAGGCUAAGCCUGUUAGUGAACUUUCUGUUGGAAAAAAGAUCUAAUUUUCUAAGUUGUCAUUCUGACUAAUCGCAACAGCACUCUCCUCACGGACAAAGGGUUCUGAUUAAGAAAUAUGAAGUUCUGACUACACGUCCAAAUGUUAAAUGAAACGUUUGCAAUGAACAUGUUGCAUUCAAAUAAGAAAUAUUAAAAAAAAAAAAAAAAAAGAACAAAAUCCACCUAAAUGAGAUUUUUUUUUUUUUUAUUUACAUUCAGGAUAUAUUGGAAUUUUUUGCCUAAGAUUCUGCAUAUACUUUUUAUAUAUAGACAUGCUAUGUGUAGAUGUGCAUCCUACAGAAUAGCCAUCAUCAUGUAGGAAGAAUGAAUAGCUUGACCUUCAGUUAAGCUACAGUCUUUGAUUUCAGAGUUCCAGGUCAGGCUGGUAUCAGAUUCUCCGUGAAAGAUCGUUGGUUACUUGAGGAUACGUGGGGUUAUCAGAGAACGAAAAAAUGUUUGAAACCUUAAAAUAAUUUCCUGAUAGGAAAAAAAAGGUAUUUCACCCUCUCUUCCUUACAUAACAGCCGGUUUGCAAAGGACUAAAAGAAGGCUUUAUGAAACUGCUGUAGCCAUCUUUUUCCUAUUGGUGAGCAGAGACUUGAACAAUUUGUUGAAGUCUAUGAGAAACAAAUGGGUAAUAAGGAUUUCACAGCCAGGUCAUUUUUUAUUUAUUCUGUUCUACAGCACCGCAUGCAGAGUCGCGAAGUGCUAACCUAGCUAUUCUCAGAAGUUGUUCAAAAUCCGAUGGACUAAAAAUAUUCCGUCUGCCAAGCACUCAAGGUGAUUUGAAAAGGCUCGGAUGCUUUUGCUUUGGGCCACAGGCUGCAGAUAAAUUAAGAGGCGUCAGGGCUUUUUUAAUUUAAAUCUCUUUCUUCUCCUCCAGCCCUAUUAAUAAUGAACCAAAUCCACAACAGUGAAGGAGAAGCCUGCUUGCUGGCUAACGCUCUGUUUGUAAGAUGGUGUCUGCAUCUCCCCACGGUGCUAAAAUUCAUUUCAAGUUACACUUUAGUAAUUGAUGAUCACUUGCUGUAUCCCCUUAUAAAGCUUUUUUAUCAAUGUCUUUGGCGGCUCAUUUUAUAUCAGCAGCAAAUCAAUGAAAUUUUAAUGGAACAGAGCUCUCUACUUGAGGCUGAAUUAAUGUUGCUUUACCUAUUUCAAUAUCAAGUGAAGUUCUCAAAGUCUGGAAGGAUAACUCUUUCUCUGAUAACUCCAGACUGACAGAAUAAAGCUGGUGAAGUAGGAAAUGCAAGUAGGAAAUGCAUGACAGCACGCUGAAUUGCCUUGGCUUAUGGGUCUCCAUCCACUGAAGAGGACUUGCCCAGUUUGGACUGUAGAAAUGGGGAGGACAGUAAGGAAGCACGCUGCCAUGCUGCCUUUAAAGCUGAAGGAAAGAGCCCGUUCUCCAGCAACAUUCAGUGUUAGGUGAGGUGUGUCUUUUGUUUUUACUCUUGAUUUAGCUUCCCACCGUUGCCAAGGUAGUUGUGCUGCUGUUUAGGAAAGCUAUUGCGUGGUGUUUGAAACAAGAAAACCCAUGUGUUGCGUGCUUGUUGGUUUUAACUGCUUGGUGGGGAUUUGUUCAAGAGUGAACUUUAGCUUAUUCGUAGAAUCAUGGAAGGUUGGAAAAGACCAUUAAGAUCAUCAAAUCCAACCAUUCACCCAUCACUACCAUGCCAACUAAGCCAUGUUGUUUGUGCACAUUGAUGGCAUCUAUGGAAUUUCUCCUUCCUUAAGCAAAAGUGAUUGCAAGCUGCCCCCAGAGCUGCUUCUGGAGAGCCAUGGAAGCCCCUUCAAAAGUCAGCUUGCCUAUUUUUUGGUGAAGAUCCUGGAGAAUUUUGCCUUCUUUAAGUUUAAUGUUUUGUAGUGACUGCUGUUGCAUGUCUGAUAAAACAUAGCUGCUAUGAUUUCUGUAACAGUUGCAGAUACAACUGAGAAAGUAUUAGAAGAGAUAGUUAAAAAAAAAAAAAAAAUGUCAAUUUCUAACCAAAGAAGGUAAGGAAACAAUUUGUCACCAUUGACAACAGGAAAAUGAAUAAAUAUUGCAAUAGAUAUAUAUCUACUCAACAAAUUUAUAUUAGUAUCAGAGCGACAUCCUGUCUCAGGAAGGGUAGUAGACCAAUGUUAUUAACUUCCUUGAUGGAGAUCUUUCAUUUCAGGCCGUGAAUUUGUGGUGUGACAUCACUGUCUUCUUUGUAGUUUUGCUUGUGAUCUUCUAUUUCCUAAAGAAGUAUGCAAAUUAUUACAUUAUACUGUGUUUUAAAGUAUUAAAUGGUUGUAAUUUUCAUAUUUGCAUGUUCUGAGCUGGGCUUCUGAAUUCACCUUUUGGCACUGAGAUAGAAGUGACUAAGCUGAGAAGUCUUGGAUAUUCUAUGUAAAUUAAUGCAUAGAGUAGAUAUCUGUCAUUCUGGGAAAGUUAGGAUACAGUGUAGUUGCAAAGACUCAGAAAAUGUGGAGCGUAUGUUGAGUCACGUAAAGCUUGGGCAUUUAUUGUUAAUUUUUUUAUACACACAUCAUGAGAGUCCCUCAUCAGUAGUAAUUGUAAGGCUUUAAAAGGGACAAGUGGAUCAUAUUUUCUGGAAGAACUUAACAGCGAAUUGUAGCAAAACAGCCUAUGAAAUGUUUCAGGGUCCAUGCUCAUUUCUUCUUCAGUUUGCUGACUGCAGGAUCCUCUGCUUCUUUUUAAAGACCUCUGUCAUCCCUUUCUGGACUCUCCCGCUUUUUUGCUUUUCUUUUCUUUUUUCGAUCUCUUUUAUCCCCUCCCCCCCUAGCUUAAAAAGCAGAAGUGUUUGCCAGUAAGUUGUAGUCACUUGAGUGCACUGUUAACAUGUGCUUGAAACCUCUGACAACCACGCCAGAAUUGUUCAGAACUCUUUAUUGUAGAAAAAGUAGGGAAGAAAAACACUCAGACAAACAAUUUAAUUAAGCAAAGGAAAGCAAUUUCAGGCGAGCUGAAUUCUUUGUUUUUAUACUGAAUAGUACUGAACUCUUGAAAUUUAAGAAUAGCUCUAUGUUUCCUCUUCUGCUGUCCUCUAAGGCUCUCAUAAGCUCUUGAUAAGAACUAGUUCUGAACUGAGUGCUAUAAUAAUGCUCUUCCAGUGCCCACCUGACCCAAAACUCCUGGAAGUCUGUGCAUGUCUUCUUUUAAUUUUCCAAUGUAUUCAAUGUCUGCUAGAACAAGAUGCAUAAAGGAUGAGGAACAAGAUCUUUCUGUGAAUAAAUCUGAUGAACCCCAAGGACUUGAAUUCCUUGAAAAAAUUUCAGAGGAGUGUCUGAACACCUGUGCUUCCUAUUAAAUCUUACGAAUGUUCUGAGAAUCUGAGCCAAUCUGUAAUGAUACUGUCCUUAUGUAUUUUCUAAUCUGUCCUGCUACUCUGGAUGAUAAGCCCUCUAAUAACUCUUUGGAGUACAUCAAAAUGUCAUUUUGUGCAGAAUGCCUGCUCUUUUCCCUCUAGAUCCUAGCUUAAAAAUGAGUGUUGUGUCACAGAAGAUCAUUUUGGAUUACAGAACAACUUCUCAAAAUGUCAGCAGUAAAUAGUCUGCAAAUCCCUCAUUAUCAAUAAUACAGCACUGAUAUUCAGUAAAAAGCCAUUUUGUAAAACUUUCAAGUCUGUAUCCUAACAAACCUUUUAGCUAGUAGCAAUCCCCCCAGCAUCAAGCAGGUUUAAUGCAAAAGAGAUCUGUUGUUUUUUUCCCUAGAGAACUCAAGUGAAGGUUUUAUAAACUUUUGGACAAGGGACUUGGAUUUCAAUACUGUUUUAAAUGAAACCAUUUAAGGAUGUUUUUAGUUCUUCAUCUUUACUCAUUGUAAGAAAUAAUAAUAAUAAAAAAUCCAUCAGUACGUGCUCAGAAACUAUUUUUUUUAUAAGAGUACAUUACUGUUUAUGAAAUUAUUUUUGUGCACUCAAUACUGACUUGGAUGUCACUAAAUUAAUGUUGUUGAGAGUGUGAGUCUCUGACUUGUGUUUGGUUUCCUUAUUCAUUUACACACCUUUCUUAAAAGCUUUCUUUCUUGUAUGAAGUAAAAGAGUCAGCGUUCUAAUGUUACUUGUGUGGAAACUGUAAUGCAAUAGGUAUAAAGCUAUUAUUUUUUCCAUGCGUAUCAACUUGAAAACUCUCACUGAUUGCAUUGGUAGAGAGUUAGGUCUGUAUGAGGAGCAGAGAAGAAAGGUCAGUGGGAAAAAAAUACAAUGAAAUCUUAAACCUUCAGAAAAAAAUGUGGUGAUGUUCAAAACAGUGAACGUGGUGAUAAGCACUGGUAUUAGGUUGAAGACUUCAAGAUUCUUUAUCUGCAUUGCUGGGCUUCCAGCACCAUGUUACUGUACAUUUCGCCUUGUUUAUGUAGAUUUUAAGGCUGGGAGGAUGAACUUGACUCUGUUUUUGACUUACCUGAAGAGGUUUUCUGACAGGAAAACUGUUAGGUAGCUGUGUACUGGGAACCCUUUUAAUAUAGAACCGUUCAUCUUAUAUUAACUUCUGUAAGCCAUCAGCCUGAAAUGAGCUGUCCUUGAACAAAUGAGUCACAAGGGCUGGUCUAGAUAUCUGAUUGCCAGCUGCUAGCCAGUCAAUCGUAUAUGAAGUGUUAGGAGAGCUCAUAAAACAUAGCUCACAAAAAAUUAAGCUCGCUAAGAGACAAGUGCAUCUGUACAUUUCUUUCUAAAAGAAUAACAAUGAAAAUUAUGUUGAAAAUGCAUCUGUUACACCUUAGAUAUCACUGCUGACAAACAUUCUUUCAGUAGCAUGCAAUGCUAGACCUUAAAAUAAAGAUGUUUCUGAAAGGAAAAAGCUAUUUUUUUAAAUCAAACUUGGCUAGCUUUGACUUCCAGAAAUGAUUCAGUAAAACAUACUGUCACAAAUAUAUGUCAAAGUCAUUGUCAAAUACCAAACUAUUUUAAAACCAGAUUGAUGAAUAGUAGUAGCUAAGCUUCAAACACAUGUUCAUUUUUAUAGUUAUUACUCAUAUGCUUGUGACCUCUAGUUAACUUCACUGGAGCCUGGAAUGCCUGCACAGAUUUUCUUUGUCACACUUCUGGUUCUCAAAAGUAUUUUAUGAUCCUUCCUCCAGCUUCUUUCCUCUUCUAAACUGCUCGUCGUGGGCAAUUAUUGAACUAUCGGGAUGUUGACAGGUAGCGGACUGUGAUUGGGCAGCUGCCACUGCAGCAGGAGUUGUGUGCACAGCACAGUUGAAUCUUGAAGCACAUUUGAGCAGGAGUACAGAUUGUAAUGGUACGUACUGCAGGGGUUUGCCUCGUUUAACACCUGAGAAGAAUUGGAAACAGCUGGAGCUGCAUUUUCUUGAACAACUCCAUCCAAAAGGGAGACAGAGUGCGAGCUCCAGAGAAUAAUCUAGACCAACUUAAAAAUGAAGGAAGCAGGAUGUUGUUAUAAAAAAUAAUGUUCAUGGGGCUGGAAGGUUAGAUGGUCACAACAGCCUCUGUGAAGUAAAAACAAAUUAAUGUACAUCAAACCCUUUCAUAUUCUAUGCCUUGGGUAUUAUGAUUGUAAAGAAUGUAAUCCUUAGCUUCAAUUCAUCCACUGCAGAGGAAUUUAGACCCUUUUCUUCCUUUGACAUUCCCUAUUCCUCUUGUUCUGCCAAAGUUCAGUCCUAUUCAGAAGACGAGCGUGCAGCUAGCAUAGUUUUGAAAAAGUACUGUUUCAAAACUCCUGAGUGCUGCAGAAAAGGACUUAAUAUACUGUGGAAACUGUGUUUCCACAACCUGUAGAAGCAUACAUCUGCACGUAGACUGGCAAUAAAAGUUUGAAAAAAUAUAUUUGCUUCGUGGUAGACUGCGUUCCAGUGAAGGUCCACCACAGCCAUAAAUUAAUGAUGGAGUACCUUCAAGCCGAACAGGAAAUAAUGUAAUACAGUCUUAGGUGACAAUAGUUUGCCUUACUGUAAUGUUACACAGAUAGCACAGCAACUUUUGUGGCAAUGUACGUGCUGCCCAAGGAAGAGAAAACCUCAUGAAAACAGAUGUAAAAAGAAGGCCUUCAGAAAACUAACUCUAUCAGAAGGUCAGCUCAGUUAACUUCCUUUUGAACCUGGUAUACAGAUUGUGAAAAUAGGAUUAUAGUCUGAACAGUCUUAUUCACACAGAUGUGUAUGACCUCUUGCACUCUGAGCAUUCAUGCAGCAAGCAGGUGGGAACGUAUUUGUCCUGUACUCCGAGACCUGGAGGCAGCAAGGGUAAUGCUGAGUCAGACACAUAAGUCCUGAAACGAGUAUAUGUUAACUCAGAUCUGACAUUCUGCAAAUCAUUAAGCAAAGCUCAUUAUUUUGGAUGCUUAGUGUGAUGAUCACUUGUAAUUCUAGCACCAACAAACUCCUGACGGGCCAAACGUCUGUGAAGGAACAAAGAGGAAAGUGAUCUUGUCAGAGUAGUUCCAUUUUACUAUCAUCACUUUCUCUUUUAAUGUACAUUAAUAUGCUAUGCUACUUUGUUUUGUUCAACUCAGAGAAUUCAACAGUGAUACUUAUUCUCAAAUCUCUGUCACCUGAUUUCUUGCAGGCUUUAGCCUUCUGAAAAAAUGGUUGUGUGUCACAAUAUUUAUUCAGUUGUUCAAGAGUUUUACUCACUAGGACAAGGUUCUUGAGUUGGGAUUGUCCUGCUCACACAGUCCUGGCAGUUUGGUAAGCUGCCGCUUCUAAAUUGGUAUUUUAUUGAACCUGGCUGAUGGGUGAACUUCUUCCCCACCUGUUCAUGGUAUAAAUAGAUCUUCCAGAACUAUAGUGACCAAGACUCCUUGCAACUUGCUUUAUUAUGUCAUCGUAUGAGAUAGGGAUCCCCUGCUGGCGUAUGCUGUCAAAAUUUGUCAAGUGUGCAUAACUCAAUGUGUAAUUAAACAUGAUCAGGUACAUUGCAUUCUGUUUUUUUCUGAACAUUCGCAAUUUAACCCCUGUCAGAGUUUGGCAGACACAUGACUGAAAAUGUUUUAGAUGAUGCUGAAGUUGGAGCAGGCACAGAAAGUCUUCCUUAGCUGGCGUGUUGCUGAGAAAGGUCUGAGUACUGAAAUGUCAGUGAAUUCAUUCUCUUAUUUGCUUUUCUACUAUGGGAGAUAAGUAGCUAGCACAUUAUUUUAAAAUAAGUACGUUAAUAGUAUUUUAUACUUUGUUGUGCAUGUGGUGUUCCGUGUUUGAAAUUAAAGCCAGAGAAUAAUAGAAAAAUUGACUUGUUUUGUAGAUGCAGCAUCUUUUCAUGAGCUAGAAUGAUUACAUCCACUUCCAAGAAGUGUAAGAACAGAGAGGGCUGAUCUUGGCAGACAGCGUUCAUAUGAUUUCUAUCUCAGUGCCUAUUUCAAAAACAGCCUUUGGUCGGGAGCAUACCACAGCCCAGCUUUUCAAAUGUGCUGAGUUGUUUUGCAUUGCCUUGUUUUGUUAGUUGGAGGCGUUUUGUAAGGUUUUGUAUUUCCUAGUGUUUUGUAGAACAGAUUCUUUCGAAGGAACUCAGGUGAAAAAUUGAGGUAUCUGAAAUCAUUAGUUGCUUUUGAACAAUCUUUCUUUCCUUGUUAUUUGAUCAAAUGCUUCUCAGCAAUUCCUGAUUAGAGCUUCUGAGGGAAAUUAAGGUCCAGAAUAUGAAGAUCAACAAGAAUGCUCAGCUGAUGGUCUCAGUUUUAAUGGAUAAUUUUACUGUAUUUAAAUAUGGCACACAAAUGAAAAUACCUUGGCCAGCUUAAUCAAAUAGAUGAUUUUUGAGAGAGCCUGGCUCCUGUCUGGCUCAGCACCAUCUUUUUGAGAAGAUACAGGGAUGUGCUGCCAAAAUAGUAAAUUCUGCUCCUGGUCCAACGAUGCAUAUAGAAGAGGCUGUUUAUGCAGGAUCAGAUAUGCAUUUGCCCACGGAAUAAAUAAAUGCUAAGAAAUACAUCAGCCCUGUUAGCUGACUUACCCUCAACUGGUUGUGGAAUAACUGGAGAAUGAGUGUGCCUAGAGCAUUGGUCUGCAGGUGAGAGGCACGAUGAGCACUGUUUUGCCCCACUUCAUUAGUAUACCUAUUGGCAGUAUCUACUCCCUUUAGUCUGGGCAUUCCAUAGGAAGCACUGGUACAAUGUAGAGACUUGCAGACUGAGAUGAAGUGGAAAGAAAAUCAAUCCCUGCUAGAAAAUCACUAGGCGGUAAUUCAUCCAGGAGUCAGGCUAAAGUUCCUGUCUGCUUUUCAUGAUUUGCUGCUUCUGCUUCUCCUCUCCUACAUUAUCACUGCAAAGAGGUCUCCUUUUAACUGUGUAAACUUUCAAGGUCUACAGAGAAGUUUUAUUAGGAAAACUUUCUUUUUUCUUUGUCAAGUCCAAGAGGGACAGAAAAUAUUACUUAUAUUACUUAUAUUACACCUUUUGAAUAUUUCACUAAAAAUUUGGAUGAGAAAGAGUUUCACAAUUCUGACUAUUGAAAAUAAUCAUGAAGACCAUUGAGAGGAGUGAUUAGCAAAGCAAGGGAGGUGAUUGUCCCUCUUUUCCUCUGUGCUUAUGAGUCCCCAUCUGGAGGAUUGCAUCCAGGCCUGGGGCCCCCAGCACAGAAGGGUUGUGGAGCUGUUGGGCUGGGUCCAGAGGAGAGAUACAGAGACGAUCAAUGGGCCGGAUCACCUCUUGUACAAAGAAAGGUUACAGGAGCUGGGGUUGUUUAGCUUGGAGAAGAGACUUCAUUGUGGCCUUCCAGUACUUGAAGGGAGCUUAUAAGCAAGAGAGGUACUGACUUUUUACAUGGUUUGAUAGUGAUAGGACAAGGUGUGAUGACUUUAAACUGAAAGAGGGGAGAUUUAGGUUAGAUGUAAGGAAGAAAUCUUUACUUAGAGGGCGGUGAGGCACUGGUGUAGGCUGCUCACAGAUUUUGUGGGUGUCCCAUCCCUGGAGGUGUUUAAGGAUGGGGCACCUGAUCUGGUGGGUGGCAACCCUACUUACAGCAGAGGGCUGGAACUAGAUGAUCUUUCCAGUCCCUUCCAACCUAAGCCAUUCUAUGGCUCUAUGAUUCUGUGAGAGCUGUCUUAAUACUUGAAUUUCAAUCUCUGCUAUCAAGUUCCUGCUUUAACAAUUAGCAGGCUUUUGAGUAUUUAGGAUAAAAGUUUUUCUUCCUCCCCUCUCUUCCAUUUCUUUACUUCUGUAUUAAGACAAGCUGAAUGUAUGUAAUCUAACUCUAAACUCAGCUUUCUGGCUGAGAUAUUAACAGUAGAUGAAGAAAACAGAUAGAUCUGUUGUUUGUGUUUCUGUGUUGUGGUUUUUGUUUCUUUUUUUCCCUUGAUGUAUUUUCUUCCACAGCCUUGAGCAAGAGAUUCCUAACUGAGAAAGACUGGGUUCAUUAAGUUAAUGAAGGAGCUAACUGGAGGAUGCUUAGCAAUACAGGGAGAAGAAAGUGCAUCUAUCUUGUAUUAUUAAGAUUUAUCAUGUGAUCAGAAGGCAGUUGUAUACAUUUGUGUGAUUGUUUACAUGUCUCAAGUGAGUAAUUACAGGGAUAGGGAAAACAAAAAGCUAUCUUAAAUGUGGGGAAUGUGUUCUUGUGAUACAGCACAGCACGGCCAAGGCUAAAUUACAGACAUAAUGGCUUAAAUAGUAUAGUCUUAUUAGUCACAUUCACCAAAUGCGAAAACGACACUGUUGUUCCCCAAAUACCUUUGGAGACAAAUUAUGGACAGUAUUGGCAUUUCCAUAAGAAAUGGACAGUAAAAAGUGUUUUGUUUUUCCUUUGGUAAGUAAUUAAAGAUGGACAAACCAUCAGUAGCACUUGAUUUCAUGGCUCUCGGAUGUAUGAUGUGAAUGUUCAUUGUGAAUCAGUACUUUGAAAAAGAUGCCUAGUGAAUACUUCUGUGUUUGGUUGGUGGGUUUGUUUACUACAUUCGCCUACAAAGCACUACACAGAUUUAAACUAUUAAUUUUGACUAUCAGGAAAUGUUUGAAUAAAACUCAACUUCUUUAAAUGGUUAAGAAGAAAGCUUAAAAAAAAAAAAAGGAAGUCAGUAAGCUUCUAAUGGGAAGAAUUUUUAUUGAGUAGUGACUUCUCUGUUAAUCAAAGAUUACUGAUACCUACCAUUCUCACUGUAAAACUAUCAAUGGCUACAGUCUUUGCAGUUUAAAGGUACAAGAGAAUGUAGACUCAAUGCAGAAAAGAGGUGAUGAAUACAACUGAAGAACUUAAGGGACCAUCUGGGCUUUUUAUUGACUGCAAAACUGGAAAUACUAAUAUUUUUUGGUACUUCAUUCCAUAAAAGACACAAAACUAUGCAUGUAAGUAAUAGAAAUGUAGCAGAAGAGAAACCUCUUUAUCUAGCUCAUCACCUUUCAGUGACAUAAGCUUAAUAGCAGAUGUUCAUCCUUUAUUCUCUAAGCAUUUUCUAAAUACUUCCCUGCCCAUUCUGAUGAUGAACACAGAACGCCUCUGAAUUAGAUAUUUGUUUAUUAUUUAUCACUGGAGUAUUUUUACCAACCUUGAUGUUAGAGAGCUGUUGUCAUGUUACCUGUGGGAUUUCUCUUUUCUAGACUAACCCUCAUGAAUUCCUGCAGCUUUGCCUUUUAGGUCAUAUUUUUAAAACCUGUUACUACAGGUUUUCUUUUUUAUGUUCUCUUAAGAACUCUGUGAUUGCUUUUGUCUGCUUUAAGCAGACUGGCCAAGCUGCAGUCAGUGUUCUGGCUGAGCUCUCACCGGGAACACACAAAGCAAACCAAUUUGCUUCAUUUCAGAUUCACAAUAUUCCUGCUAGUACAGUCCUUAAUAAUUUUCCUGCAUUGUUGGCUCUUACUUAGGUUUAGUCUUGACAGCCAGAUUCUGUCCUGACGUAUACUGAUUGAUUGUUUCCCUUUGAAUUAUGCUCUUUAUUUCCCCUCCUUAUGGACACAUUUAUAAGGCAUAAAUGUCUUAGGGACAUUUCUCCUCCUUAUGCCUGGUCUUCAGUGCAUGCAUCUUCAAAUUAGUUCCUCUCGUCCAAAAUGCAUAAUAAAUCUCUCAAUAUGAUGCUUUGAUUGCAUUAUUUAUUUCAUUAGUCAAAUAAUUUACAGAGAUUAUGAUUAAAACAGUUAAAAAAAAAAGAAAAAGGAAAUAAAGAACAAUUUCAGGUCAGACCUCUGGAAGACAUCACUUAAAGUCUCUUAGUCUGAUAACAAGAAAUAGUUAACUUAGGAAAUUUUGAUUGCAAUUCUGCAAGUCCUUUCAGUUCACUGUACUUUUACAGUACCAAAUGCCUCACAAAGGCCAAAGUUCGUCAUGUCUGUUGCUUAAACCAGUUAAGUCAGCUAGAAGGGUUGCUGUAGUCAGGUAUUUUUGAUAAAACCAGGCAUCGUGAAGAGUAUGAUGUUACUAUAGCUAUUUUAAGAAUACUUAGCAACCCAUCAGGUUUUGAAUAAGACUAAGUGGCCUGUGAUUCUCAGGUAUUCCUUUUACUGCUUAAAGUUGGUACUGUUUUCUCCUUCUUCAUUUGCAAACCAAGUGAAACUCUUCUCUAAAGAUCACUGUAACUAAAGAUAAAGUUUUCAACUUCAGCUAUAAGUGCAUACACCUGUGUUUCUGGGGGAGUUCCUUCCAGCUGUAGUUUUAUUCACCAUGCAGGCCCACUGAAUUUCUCAUCUAGCUGUGACUAGUUAGGUAUGCAUGCAUUCAGUCUCUUGCAGAAGCAUUUGUAUGAAAGAACUGAUUUCAGAAAAAAAUCAGCAGAGGGUCCAAAAAGUGUUAUAAAUUUAUCAAAAGAUCUGCCAUGGUUCCAAAAUCUCUUUUUGAAACAUAUUUCUAAAGAACUCUUACUGGAGAUGGAAAUUUAGUUAUACCCUGACAAAUGGGUAGUUUACUUGCUAAGGUUCCAUAAAUAAGGUUUCUGUAAAUAGAUGUAAGUGAAUAUGCAAGGUAUGGAAUGUAGAAUAUUUCCUUACCUGCUACAACCUAAAAUUACUCAGGAAAUGAACAAAAGCUUCCUCAAAACAAACAAACAAAGAAACCAAACAAAACCCAUGAGCUAUGACUACCAGCUACCAAGUGAUCCUUUCCAAGAUGAGAGAGUACAGAAUAUUUUGGAAGCCCUUACUGCAUGAAAGCCACAGUAGCAGCCUGGAUUAUAUAAUUUGGUCAUUGUCACUGAAUUUGUGCAAGCACGUAAAGUGGCAGCAAAGUCAGAAUCACAGAAGAAAAUGCUUAGGUCAACUCAAAGACCAAUUGAAAACGGGAUAUCUAAUGCAUGCUAAAAUUAUGGGUAAUGCCAGGUCAUAUUAUUACUUUAGAAUAGUGGGAAAGUAUGCACUUAAUGAGCUCUACUAAGAGCUGUGUGGCUUGAUUAUUGCAGGUGAAAUAGUUCAGCUGCUAACAAAUGGUGCAGACCUUUUUCAAAGGUCUUUUCCCUGGCCUUCCCUCCGCUCCUGCCUUCCUCAAGGUGUUUCUGAGCACUGCCUUACUUCUAGUGAGAAUCCUCAUGGCAGGCUGAUGCUGGUACAAGGUUAGACAGAAGACUCUAAGGUCAGGAUUGAUUUUGAAAUAAGUAAUUUCAAUGACUAUUAAGGUAAUCAAUACACAGCUUGGAGCAAGACAUCUAAAAGUAGCCAAUACUCUCUUCCACAUCAAGAAUUCAUCUGGAAUCUUACAAGACUGUUUUGCAGAUUCUCAUAAUGAGAAGUCAGACCUUCAGUGCAAGUUGCCUCAUUCCUCUAGAGUAAGUUGAUUUGUAUCAGUGUACACCAGCAGAAGAUUUAUACCAUGGUGCCAUGGAAAUGCUAAGUCGUAGCCUGAAGCAGUGAUUGCACACCUGGUGGGAAGGCAGGGCCAACCCAGGGGAGCUCAGGUGAACACAAUGCAGCUGAUUAGAAGGGCUGGAGCGGGGAUCCACCCUUUCCCAGACCUCAUGUAAGGGUGGCAGUGGAGGGGGAGCCUCUCUUGUUGGAGAUUCCUGCCUAUCUGAAGAUGUUACAGGCCUUCCAAAGAAUCAAUAUCAGAUGCAGAAAGGACAAGACAAUGGAAUUAAAACAUUCAAAAUUCUUUUCAGCACUUCCAGAUGCCGAUAGCAGAGACGUACUGACAUGAAAACCUCAACAAAAAAGUUGUAUCUACCCCAUCUACCUCUGUGAUGACAGAAUCACAGAAUGGCUUGUGUUGGAAGGAACCUCAAGGAUCAUGAAGCUCCAACCCCCUCGCCACAAGCAGGGCCACCAACCUCUGCAUUUAAUCCCAGACCAGACCACAUUUAAUGCCCAGGGCCCCAUCCAACCUGACGUUGAACAUCUCCAGGAAUGAGGCAUCCACAACCUCUUUGUGCAGCUGUUCCAGCACCUCACCACUCUCAUAGUAAAGAAAUUACAGAUUAUGAAGUAGUGGUUCCUGUGUGUAUCUGCUGUGCUGACCUCACCUAUAAAUGACUCUGCAGUGGAAAAGAUUCUUCUGUUCCCAAAAAUAUAAAUUACUCUUUAGACUAGGUUUUGCAUUCAAGCUAAUACAAUGGUGUUACUCAUAAGAGUGAAAUUAUUUGUGUUCAUACACGUUCCUAGAAUUAAUAUGUAACAUCUCAAAUCAGAUCUAACAGGAUGAAAAUGCGGAAUUUUGGGGGUCCAAUUUUGAGUAUGUAUCAAUCACAAAUUAUGAUUCUGGAAAAAAAAGUAGUUGUAACUAUGAGGUUAAUUAUAGUAACUAUGAGGUAGAUUACAUGCAGUCAUCAAAUAACAGUUUUGUUACGCAAUGAGUAUCUGUCUUUGCAGUUAUAACACUGCAUCAUUUCUUAAAGUUAGUAUUAUCUUGUAACUUCACGUUGUGUUUUAAUUGCCUACUUGAAUUUGCUGUGCUUUAGUAGUGAAGACUUGCUGAUUAGUAUAUUAAUUGUUUUUAAGUGUUAAUGUAAUGCUUGGGACUUAUUUAACUUGGAUAAAUUGUGGGAUCUUUUUUUCUCUUUUCCUUGUUUUCUUUAAGAUCUCAGCACAUAUAUCGGUCGAAUCUCCCUAUGAACUCAAAUACCUGCUCUUAGAUAAUGGCUAUUAGACUUACGCUGUAAAGCUAAUCGCAGCAGGUGCCAUCACAGGACAGUGGGACAGUAGUGAACAUCCUUCCUAGUCAGUGGUCUCUGAUGUCAGACCCAGACUUUAUCCUUCUUCUACUGUGCUUUUUCAGGUGAUGUUUAAAGCCUGAUUUGGCUGAUUAGUGCCAAUGUAGUUGAUUAAAGUUGCUUAUUGUUUUAGUCUGUCAGCAGUGUGAAUGUCAUGCAUCUGCUUAGGUAGGAGUAGUGGUGAAUUGAAAGGUAAGAGCUAUGUCUGAUUUCCAAUAUGAGCUGUUUUAGCCAACCCCCAUCUGAUGGGAAGCCUGUACCACUACAGGACUCAAGCUGUGCCUUUGUACUGAUCUGCUGCUCCUCAAUUCAAGAAAUACUGCCUCAAAAUAAAGCUGUUUGUCUUAUGUCAAGAGAUGAUUUCAUAUGCUCUCAGUGGUAGCUUAAGGAGAACUUUAAUCACUGCUCUAUACUAGGUUUUCAUGUGUUUUGCUUUGAUUGCUUUUAUAUACAUACAUUAGUGAAAUGGGGCAGGAACAGAGGAAGUUUUUGUUACAUUCUGACGGUCUUUGACAGGUCCUGGAUGUAUUGGGACUGUCUCCUCAACCAAGGCAGAACCCGAGUUACACAAAGGAAAGCUGUAUUGGACAAUUGGUCUUCCAGCUGAAGAAGCCAUGCAGAAGCACAUGAUAUCAUGAACAUUAUUAUUAUUUCCCAGAAACUACUGAAAAAAGCAGUUAGUUUUGUCACAGACAUAAAUGUUCUGCUUGGUGUCAGUGCAACCUCCAUUGUUUGCAAAGGUGGUUACCUUGUGUGUGCAGAAGUCCUGCCCGCUACCAUUAGCCAUACCGUUAGCUGUUACAGGAGGCUCUGCUGGUCAGUCAUGGUGACCCAGUCUGGCCAUUUCUGAUAUUUAAUGUAAUUCUCAAGUUGUUGUAAAACUCCAUAAGAAAAAGCCAUGCUAUAAUGAACAGACGGAAAUAAAGCUUCCCUUGUCUAAUAGUGUUAAAAUAUAUAUAUGUAUCUGAAGAAGUAAGGAAAGUGUUUGUCAUCAGAAGUUUUUCAUAAGACUUUUCAUGAUCAUUGCAUUCAGUGUUCAUUUAUCAUUUAGAGAAAAAAAAAUUCAGUAAUUAUUUUCAACCAAUAUAGGAAGAGAUUGAGAGCAAAUAUUAAGAUCAUUUGAGAGGACAAUUGAGGAUUUUAUUAUUAUUAUUUAGUAUUUCUCACAGUGCCUCUUAUUGCUAUCAUGUCUGGUCUUCUUUUUCUACGCUUAAAUAUUCAACACCUCUGUUGUUUUGGCAUCAACAACUGACUCUGUCAGUGUACAUAAGAAGCCUCUGAUCUCUUAUGCUACCUAUGCAGAUUCUGAAUCCUGAGCCAAAACUUGGUCAAGUCAGAGGGGGGGUGUUCAUACAGAGUCCUAGAAAAAUCGUUAUGGGGAACAUCUAGUAUAUCUCAAAUCGUGUAGAGGAAUCUGCUGAAACAAAGCAUGCUGGUACCUAGCUUAACUUGUACUUGUUAAUUAUUAGUGAUUAAUUUUUAAUAGCUAUAUUUUAUAGCUUGUGGUUGGUUAUGCCCCAAGGUAAUGACUUCUUGUGUCUCAUAUUCUGUUAUUUGAAGGACAUCAUUCAAUAUAGCAUCUACACAGCUUUGUUAAAAGCAUUUAGAUCUAAAUUUUCUGCAGCAAAGACACAUUUAUUAAAUAGUCCAUAUGUUUAUUACUGUUCACAAUGAUCAAAUCCUGGGAAAACAUUGCAGAAAGAAAAUAUCUAGCUUCCUACCUUAAUUCCCAUUAUUCUAUUGAUUAGAAAAGUGAAGAUUACAUGUAUUAUCAACUGUAUUAUCAGAUAAUCCAUAAUCAGAUGCCAUUUUAAUGACAGGCAUGUGCUUUUUGUGGUGUUCCCUGGUAAAGCAGUAUGAAGAAUUUAAUGACUUCAUUAAAAGAUACUGCAUAACAAAGAAAGGAAAGCCCAAUGCUAUUUAAUAUUAUCUUUACAAUGUAUUACAUUGUUGAAUUGGAUUUUUUGUUUUGCUUACUUGGUUUUUGCUGUUGUUUUGCAAUUUUAUGUUCUGUAAGUUGAACAAUAAAUGUGUGAUAAGCAAAGGAAAUGUUGAGAUUUUUGCAGAUAUGGGCAAGCAGUGUUAUGACAGGUAUGUUCUGUGUCCUUAAAGAAACAGCAAGAAUGGUUUGUACCUUAAGAUGAUGAAUCUAUAGCGGACUUUCAAAUUCUUUUAAAAAGCAAAAUAAUAAGGAAGGUUUCACUGUUGCAGAUUGUGCCUGGAAUGUUGGGGCUGGGAGAUGCCACAAAGGAUAUUUUCCUUUUUUUUUUUUUUUUUCCAUUAUUUUAUUUGUUUGUGUGGUAUUUCGGUAUUUUUUUAUUGCCUGUCCAAGCUGACUGUACUAGUACCGCUGUGUUCUCAGAAGUGGAUCUGGAUGAUUCUUUACUUUUUUACUGGAGGUCGGAUUUACUUUUUUUUAGGAAGUCAGAUCCUGUCAUGAAGAUAGACUGGAAGUCAGGACUUUCCUUCUUGUGUCACAGACCUUGUGUGGGCCUAGCCUGGACAGGGUGUUUGAUUCUCACUGCUGCAGUAUUCCGUGUGAAAUUUGAAGUUUUGAUUUAUUCUUUCAAUUUGUUUAAGAAUACAUGUAUUCAUCAUGUAUGAGAUACAGAGAUGUAAUACUAAUGGAUACCUGGAUACAGUCCAUUGGAACGGUGAGUUUUGUAUCUCAAUUAUUGCAAAGCCUAAAAAUAGUUAAUAUUUGAGAGCAAAAAACAAAAUCGAGAAAACUCUUUGUCUUAAAUCUGCCUAUUCAUGAUUUGUCUAAAAGCACAUUAGUUUUGGGAAACAAAACUGAGAUUGUCUGCUGUUUUAGAACUUAAAAAUCAGUGAAAAUCAGCUGUUAUCAUCUUGACUUGGAACUGAAUUUGCUUUGUAACCUAAAAAGGCUGUAAUUUUGUAAAUAGGUAAUAGUUGUGGUAUUGUUUGUAUCAUUAAUACUGUAUUGCAUGUGUUACGAGUGUUGAUGCUGCUAGAUCUCUCAGUGGCUCAGGUUAGUGAAAGCUAUUUAAAGAAGUCUCUGAUGCAGAGAUGCCAUUACAUUUGAUAUCUUACAUUGUGAUUUACAGGUUUUUAAGGCUUUGUUUGAUGUUGAUUUUGGUUUUUUUUUUUUCAGAGCUCCUCUCCAGUGGUUCUCUGUUUGUUGAUCUGGCAAAGUCAUUUAAAUGAAAGUUCACAGUGCCAGAAUAUGGCUUAGCAAUUCACUGAAGCCACUAGAAUUGGGUUUUAUUUAUUUUAUUGUUUUAUUGCUGUCCUGCUCUGCUUGAAAUUCACCCAUUUAUGUUUAAGUAUGACAACAUAAAGCAAGUAGUAACAACUGUUUCUUUUUUUUUCAUUGAUCUGCGACAAAUUCUUCAGCUUA
rnacentral:lncRNA from 1 species